ACUCAAAUGAAUUGACGGGGACCCGCACAAGCGGUGGAUGAUGUGGAUUAAUUCGAUGCAACGCGAAAAACCUUACCUACCCUUGACAUGGUCGGAAGUUCGAAGAGAUUUGGACGUGCUCGAAAGAGAACCGGCGCACAGGUGCUGCAUGGCUGUCGUCAGCUCGUGUCGUGAGAUGUUGGGUUAAGUCCCGCAACGAGCGCAACCCUUGUCAUUAGUUGCUACGGAAGGGCACUCUAAUGAGACUGCCGGUGACAAACCGGAGGAAGGUGGGGAUGACGUCAAGUCCUCAUGGCCCUUAUGGGUAGGGCUUCACACGUCAUACAAUGGUACGUACAGAGGGAAGCGAAGUCGCGAGGCGGAGCCAAUCUCAGAAAGCGUAUCGUAGUCCGGAUUGUAGUCUGCAACUCGACUACAUGAAGUCGGAAUCGCUAGUAAUCGCGGAUCAGCAUGUCGCGGUGAAUACGUUCCCGGGUCUUGUACACACCGCCCGU
rnacentral:rRNA from 1 species